ensembl:lncRNA
CGUCUCUAUGCAACAGGACUAUGCAUGAUUUUCAUUUCCUGCCUUAUACUUUUUUGUGCUUCCAUAAUUUUCUACAACAAAUGUGCAUUACUUUUAUCAUCAGAAAAGAAUGCUUUCUUUGAGAUCUACAUCCCCUGAAUGGUGACAGUGCUACGCUUUGCACCUCUGCUCAUCUCCAUGUACCUAAAUGACAGGAGAAGAGAUGAAAGACGGAGCAGGACGCAGCCCCCUGUGUGAACUGGGCAGCUAAACAGCAGCCCCAAGGCUGAGGGAGAGGAGACGGUCAGGCCUCGGGCCAUUGAUAGCCCAUGUCGCACCAUUGUGCACAUCCGAGAAAGCGCCCAUCUGGGAAAAUGCAGCCCGUGAGCACACAGCUUGUUGAGCAGACAUGCCUUGGGGUGAUUUAGAAAAAGGUGCCCUCAUCUCUGGAUAGAGACAGCCCCGAUCCAAGACGCACAGCGUGGCCAGCAGAGCUGGGCUGGAUUUCAGCCCCACUCACCUCCUCAGUCACAUACCCUUGUUCUUGUUCUGUGGGUCCUUACCCACUUCUGAGAGCUCUCCAGCUGGAAAGGCUCAGAUGCUGAAUGCGAGGGACAGGUAGGCAAAACCCCAGCUUCUGGGCAUUGCAAGCUCACACACCACCUUCCCACCGCUCAUCUUCCCACUCCUGCUCUGCCUCAUGGGCAGGUGUUAGAAAUGCCACCACUUCAUAGCGACUGCCCCGAGGCCAAAGACCAAGGAAGGAGAGGACCAAGGCCUUCAAGACUGGUCUCUUGACUCCUGCUCCAGUGUUCUCUCCAUUCUGAACUGGCCUCAUUUUUGAGACCCUCCUGACUUCCCACAUCCUGUGCCUCCCCAUCCAUCCACCAGCCAUCUCAGGCUUCAUGGCACAGCUGCAUCUCUAUCUGCAGGGCUUCUGGACUCCACCCCGGCCCCACCUUCCUCUCCUACUUCUCACCUCCUCCAUCCAGAGGACAAGUCACCAGCCGUUCAGAGAGGGGGCCCGGCAUUUCCUGGGUUCUUCCUCUGCUCCUGGUGCAGGUGAGGCCUCCACACGUGUUCCCUCAGGGUCAUCCUCAGCGGGCAUUAUUUCCCCAGACCUGCCAGUGAGAAACCUGAGACUCGGUGAAGGCCAGGAGCUGUCGGAAUCCAUGUGGCCACUAAGGGAGGGACAGGGCUGGGACUGGAACCUCCUCUGUGUGAGUCCACGGUGCCUCUUCAUGUUUGUUCACAGGGAGAAAAGGAAGAGAAAGACGGCUGUGUGUGAGAAAACCCACACAUUUCCUUUUCUUUGUUAAUAACAUGUAAUAAUCCAAAAGCAAGCCUGGUGGGUGGAAAAUCCCUGCUGGCUGUGUUUCCAGGGCCUGGGAGCAUCGAGCGCCUGGCCGGACCCACAGGGCACGGCGCCUGAGGCCGGUCCGCCUCACCGGAGAGGAGCUGCCUCGCAGACCCCGCCAGGCCAGGUCCGCUGCCCUGGACUCUCAGGGACGGCAGAUAGAAAGGUCACCUCAACAGAGGGUGGCUCUUGGGACACAGAGCAGCCUGGGUGUGACCGGGCCACUCGCCUGGCUGCUCUGGCCUUGCCCUGGUCAUGGAAGAGCUUCCCCACCUGCUGGGCCACAGACCCAGCGGCCGAGGCGCCCAAGGCCGGCUGAAGAGAGGGCAGGGAGGCCGCAGGCAGGUUGGCACUAGGAGGGGCUCCACGCAGAACAGAGAGCCUCCCGUCUCAGGCAAUGGAAAACACUAGCAUGGAGAGGAGACUCAGCUACCACUAGUACAGCCUUAGAGAUGACUUCCCCAAGGGUGCCGCCAUCUUAACUUCCCAGCAUGCACUGGGCUCCGGAAACGCCUGCUCAGGGCCGCCUGGUUUACGCGGGAAGGACAAAGAAGCUGGGAGAGGAGGAGAAAAAAGGGGAUUUUUUUAACUACCUACCACGUGAGGUGUUUUUGUUUACCCUAUCUUGUUUACCUGCCACAAGCUUGGGAAGCUGGCGUUACCGUUCUUCCCAUUUUCUAGAAGAGGAAACUGCAACUCUGAGGCAGGAAGUGGCUUGCGGGGUCACAGGGCCGUAAGAACUGGGUUUAAAUACAGGUCUCUAGGGGGCUUGCUCCCUUUUCCCUUCCCAACCCAGUCCGAAGGGAGGUUUCCGCAUUCUUUCCCGGAUGAUUUGCUACCCUGUCCUCCCCUGCCCGUCGCAGCGCCCUGCAGGCCCCCUCCUGCUUCCUGUCUAGGGCCCACGGCAGAAGAGACCCACAGCAGCACCCGCUCCAGGGACUCAGCUUACAGGCUGCCAGGCUCAGGAGAAAGGCAUCGGCAAUUGCUUCGAGCCAAGCAUUAAUAACGCAUUUGACAAUUGAGGAAAUGAGGCCGGAGCCAGUCAGGCUGUGCUGCUCCCGGUGAAGGACCAACCCCUGCAGCGUCCUGUGCUCUCAGCCUCGCAGUACCCAGCAUGCCACACACACCUGGGAUGGCCAUUGGCUCUGACCCCUUGUGUGUUCUCAGGCCUUCGAGAUUUUGAAAGGCAAGUUCAAGAACGUUUUUUAGGAGACUGUUGGCUGCCAAUUGCAAUGAUUUUGUGUGUCCGAGGACUUGGUAAGGGCAGCUAAAGAGAUGUGAAGCUUAUAUGAUGAAAUCUGACUUGCUAAAGGAAUGCAAAACCCUUCCACGUGAUUCACCCUUGCACGCCCGCUCUUGGCCAGCUGUGAAGGGCGCUAUGGCAGCAUCAGAGCUCGGUGACCUCCUCCCUUAAUGUCACAGUGAAGCCAGCACUCUGCUCUCCAGGGAAAGCAGUGAGCCCUCCAUGAGCCAGGUACCGGCUGGAUUACAGCAGUGUUGCGGUACAUCCCACAACAACUCUGUGAUGUGGGAACUAUUAUUAUUCCCUUUUUACAAAGGAAGAAACUGAGGCAGAGAGAGAGGCCAAGGAGGUAGGCAGGAUUGCCCUGGCAGUCAGAGGCUAUGAACUUGAUGCCUGCACCACAUGCCUCCCAUGCCCUUAGAGCUGAGGAGCCUGAGGCUCAUAAAGCCCCUGGCUUGCCCAACAUCCCACAGCCAGCUGGAUGCAGGACGUGUGUCCCCUCUGGAUGAAGACCUAGGAGGACAAAAGGGAAAAUGAGGGACACAAGGACACAGUAUCCCAUUUGUGGACUCUCGUUACACCCCUGUCAGAGGGUCAAAGGACACUGAGACUGCCACCAAAGGCCCCCCAGCUAAGCUCUGAGCUGGCACACAUUGCUCCGUGGAUAAGGUGGCAGUUUGCAAGGGAAAGAUCCUAUCAGCAUCGACUUCACUGCAGGGAAGCGGAGGAUGUUCAAAGCUGCCUGGACCCCUCCUUAUCCCAUCUCUUCAUUUCACCCAUGAGGGGCUGAGUCCCGGAGUGCCAGUGUCACACAGCUGGUUAGGACGUGGCCGCUCCUGUCCUCUAAAAAAGAUGGCUGAGGCAGGGUGCUGGGAUGGGCCCUGCUCCCUGCUCAACCAGUCAAUGGCUGCGGGACCUCAGGGCAGCCUCUCCCUCGCUCUCUGCCUCCAUUUCCCCAUCUGUAAAAUUGCGCAGCUUAGACUAGAUCUUGCUGCAGCCUGUAGCUUCAGCAUGCCACGAUUCCCUUUCAGUCUAAAAGGUUGUUGGCUCUGAACCCAAUUAGGAUAAAUCAAUUUCAGACAAUGCUCAUCCCCUCAGGCUCCGUUCUCCCCCCUCCUCCUCCCAUCUGCCUGUCAUUGUCAAAGUAACCACAUAUUGAAUUCUCAAGGAGAAGGCCAUCAGAUCAAGGAGGGGAAGUGGCAAAAACCAAUCUUAACAAAAUAUAUUUGAGCUCCAAAUAAAAUUUCAUCCUCUUCCCACUGGCAGAUUUUAUCGUUUUUUAUUUCAGUUCAGUGCAGCUGAGCAUAUGGACAGGAGCUCGCUGUUGCCGGAGAUGGAGAAUAACAGGCCCGGACACAGGGUGCCCCCAGGAUGAUGGAGCACCCUCCACAUGCUGUCAUGGCGGGCACAAGGGAGCCCCCUGUUCUGCUUUCUCCAAGCCCUCCAUGAUGCCUGAACAGCCCCCCGUGGAAGUGAGUCUCUUUGGAAAUUACAUUUCAUAACAGUAACAACCACGGCAGCUCUCACCUCUCGAGCACUCACCUGGGCAGACACAGGGCUCUGCACUUCGCCUGCAGUGUCUCAGUUAACACUCUGCGGGGGGCCCUCUGGUUAGCUGCAUUGUACAGAUGAACAAACCAAGGCUCAGCAAGGAUGGGUAACUUGCCAGGACCACAGAGCCAGUUGAGAGCAGACCACACUCUGCACUCCCCAGCCCUGGGACUCAGGAGACCCUCGGGCAUUUCAUCUCUAAAACCCCCAGCCCGCAUCCCUGACUACUCCCCAUAGUGCUGGUGGAAGGUCAGGCUGGGGUUUGGUGCCCGAAUUCACACCCUUCCCACACGAGGUCCUGGUGACCGAAGGCGAUCCGGUGGAGUGAUGGGCAGGGGUGGAAGUUGUGGCUUUAGGAAUAAUAUCAUCAGACUGGAGAACGUGCCUGAAUUUGGAACAGACUGACCUGGGCAGAUGACAGCUCCCCUGUCCCUGGCUGUGUGGCCCAGCCAAGUCCAUUAAUGUCUGAGCCUCAGUUUCCUUUCCUGCGACUUGGGGCUAACAAUAAACCUGCGCUCCCUGCUCCCAGAAGGGCUGGGAGGAUCGACCCCUAGGUCCCGUGUGGAGGAGCUCCUGGAGAGGUGAAGGGCCACCCCGUCCUACUGCAUUGUAAUUUAUCCACGUGAUUUUAAUAAUAAUAAAUGAACAGGUGAAC